GCCAGCAUGACAUAGUGGUUUGAGUGUUGGACUAUGACACUAGAGACCAGGGUUCAAUUCCCUGCUGAGUCA